ACCAGUACCGUGAGGGAAAGGCGAAAAGAACCCCGGCGAGGGGAGUGAAAAAGAACCUGAAACCGUGUACGUACAAGCAGUGGGAGCACGCUUCGGCGUGUGACUGCGUACCUUUUGUAUAAUGGGUCAGCGACUUAUAUUCUGUAGCAAGGUUAACCGAAUAGGGGAGCCGAAGGGAAACCGAGUCUUAACUGGGCGUUAAGUUGCAGGGUAUAGACCCGAAACCCGGUGAUCUAGCCAUGGGCAGGUUGAAGGUUGGGUAACACUAACUGGAGGACCGAACCGACUAAUGUUGAAAAAUUAGCGGAUGACUUGUGGCUGGGGGUGAAAGGCCAAUCAAACCGGGAGAUAGCUGGUUCUCCCCGAAAGCUAUUUAGGUAGCGCCUCGUGAAUUCAUCUCCGGGGGUAGAGCACUGUUUCGGCAAGGGGGUCAUCCCGACUUACCAACCCGAUGCAAACUGCGAAUACCGGAGAAUGUUAUCACGGGAGACACACGGCGGGUGCUAACGUCCGUCGUGAAGAGGGAAACAACCCAGACCGCCAGCUAAGGUCCCAAAGUCAUGGUUAAGUGGGAAACGAUGUGGGAAGGCCCAGACAGCCAGGAUGUUGGCUUAGAAGCAGCCAUCAUUUAAAGAAAGCGUAAUAGCUCACUGGUCGAGUCGGCCUGCGCGGAAGAUGUAACGGGGCUAAACCAUGCACCGAAGCUGCGGCAGCGACACUAUGUGUUGUUGGGUAGGGGAGCGUUCUGUAAGCCUGUGAAGGUGUGCUGUGAGGCAUGUUGGAGGUAUCAGAAGUGCGAAUGCUGACAUAAGUAACGAUAAAGCGGGUGAAAAGCCCGCUCGCCGGAAGACCAAGGGUUCCUGUCCAACGUUAAUCGGGGCAGGGUGAGUCGACCCCUAAGGCGAGGCCGAAAGGCGUAGUCGAUGGGAAACAGGUUAAUAUUCCUGUACUUGGUGUUACUGCGAAGGGGGGACGGAGAAGGCUAUGUUGGCCGGGCGACGGUUGUCCCGGUUUAAGCGUGUAGGCUGGUUUUCCAGGCAAAUCCGGAAAAUCAAGGCUGAGGCGUGAUGACGAGGCACUACGGUGCUGAAGCAACAAAUGCCCUGCUUCCAGGAAAAGCCUCUAAGCAUCAGGUAACAUCAAAUCGUACCCCAAACCGACACAGGUGGUCAGGUAGAGAAUACCAAGGCGCUUGAGAGAACUCGGGUGAAGGAACUAGGCAAAAUGGUGCCGUAACUUCGGGAGAAGGCACGCUGAUAUGUAGGUGAAGCGACUUGCUCGUGGAGCUGAAAUCAGUCGAAGAUACCAGCUGGCUGCAACUGUUUAUUAAAAACACAGCACUGUGCAAACACGAAAGUGGACGUAUACGGUGUGACGCCUGCCCGGUGCCGGAA
rnacentral:rRNA from 1 species